rnacentral:misc_RNA from 1 species
GUUGGACCUUAUUCAUUUUCAUGUCAGAAGCUCGGUCAAAUUUCUGUGAAAAUUCAUGCCAGAGAUAAUAGCGAAGAACCUAUUCCUUCAGUUCUAUUAUCUCUGAGUGGUGAUAAUGGUUAUAGAAAUAAUUCAGUGUCUAGUGCUGGUGGAGUAUUCCUUUUCAAUGAUCUUUUCCCUGGAACUUUCUAUUUGCGUCCGCUACUGAAGGAGUAUGCUUUCUCACCUGCAGCUCAGACAAUAGAACUUGAUUCUGGAGAAUCCAGAGAAGUUAAUUUCCAGGCUACCCGUGUUGC